UACAGAGGGUGCGAGCGUUAAUCGGAAUUACUGGGCGUAAAGCGUGCGUAGACGGUUAUUUAAGUCGGGUGUGAAAGCCCCGGGCUCAACCUGGGAAUUGCAUUCGAGACUGAAUAGCUAGGGUACGGUAGAGGGAAGUGGAAUUUCCGGUGUAGCGGUGAAAUGCGUAGAUAUCGGGAGGAACACCAGUGGCGAAGGCGACUUCCUGGCCUGUUCUUGACGCUGAGGCGCGAAAGCGAGGGGAGCAAACGGG
rnacentral:rRNA from 1 species